UUGGGUAUUGGCCAAGCGGUAAGGCGACGGCUUCUGGUGCCGUUAUUCACUGGUUCGAAUCCAGUAUACCCAGUC
rnacentral:tRNA from 2 species